rnacentral:misc_RNA from 1 species
GAUGAAGAACGUAGUGAAAUGCGAUACUUGGUGUGAAUUGCAGAAUCCCGUGAACCAUCGAGUCUUUGAACGCAAGUUGCGCCCGAAGCCAUUUGGCCGAGGGCACGCCUGCCUGGGCGUCACACGUCGUUGCCCCCCCAUCUACUCCUUCGGGAUUGCGGGGGGCGGAUGAUGGCCUCCCGUGCGCCUCGCCGCGCGGUUGGCAUAAAUGCCAAGUCCUCGGCGACGCACGCCACGACAAUCGGUGGUUGCGAAACCUCGGUUGCCCGUCGUGUGCGGUCGUCGCGCAUCGAGGGCUCGAAAAAAUUGCCGGGUUCCGGCUCGGCUUUCAACGCGACCCCAGGUCAGGCGGGGUUACCCGCUGAAUUUAAGCAUAUCAAUAAGCGGAGGA